CGGCGGACGGGUGAGUAAUGUCUGGGAAACUGCCUGAUGGAGGGGGAUAACUACUGGAAACGGUAGCUAAUACCGCAUAAUGUCGCAAGACCAAAGUGGGGGACCUUCGGGCCUCAUGCCAUCAGAUGUGCCCAGAUGGGAUUAGCUAGUAGGUGGGGUAACGGCUCACCUAGGCGACGAUCCCUAGCUGGUCUGAGAGGAUGACCAGCCACACUGGAACUGAGACACGGUCCAGACUCCUACGGGAGGCAGCAGUGGGGAAUAUUGCACAAUGGGCGCAAGCCUGAUGCAGCCAUGCCGCGUGUGUGAAGAAGGCCUUCGGGUUGUAAAGCACUUUCAGCGGGGAGGAAGGCGAUAAGGUUAAUAACCUUGUCGAUUGACGUUACCCGCAGAAGAAGCACCGGCUAACUCCGUGCCAGCAGCCGCGGUAAUACGGAGGGUGCAAGCGUUAAUCGGAAUUACUGGGCGUAAAGCGCACGCAGGCGGUCUGUCAAGUCGGAUGUGAAAUCCCCGGGCUCAACCUGGGAACUGCAUUCGAAACUGGCAGGCUAGAGUCUUGUAGAGGGGGGUAGAAUUCCAGGUGUAGCGGUGAAAUGCGUAGAGAUCUGGAGGAAUACCGGUGGCGAAGGCGGCCCCCUGGACAAAGACUGACGCUCAGGUGCGAAAGCGUGGGGAGCAAACAGGAUUAGAUANCCUGGUAGUCCACGCCGUAAACGAUGUCGAUUUG
rnacentral:rRNA from 1 species